AGAGUUUGAUCAUGGCUCAGAAUCAACGCUGGCGGCGUGCCUAACACAUGCAAGUCGCACGAGAAAGGGGAGCAAUCCCUGAGUAAAGUGGCGCACGGGUGAGUAACACGUGAAUAAUCUACCUCCGAGUGGGGAAUAACUGAGAGAAAUCUUAGCUAAUACCGCAUAACACUUACGGGUCAAAGCAGCAAUGCGCUUGGAGAGGAGUUCGCGGCCGAUUAGUUAGUUGGCGGGGUAAUGGCCCACCAAGACGAUGAUCGGUAUCCGGCCUGAGAGGGCGCACGGACACACUGGAACUGAAACACGGUCCAGACUCCUACGGGAGGCAGCAGUGGGGAAUUUUGCGCAAUGGGGGAAACCCUGACGCAGCAACGCCGCGUGGAGGAUGAAAUAUCUUGGUAUGUAAACUCCUUUCGAUGGGGAAGAUUAUGACGGUACCCAUAGAAGAAGCCCCGGCUAACUUCGUGCCAGCAGCCGCGGUAAUACGAGGGGGGCAAGCGUUGUUCGGAUUUAUUGGGCGUAAAGGGUGCGUAGGCGGUUUGGCAAGUCUGAUGUGAAAUCUAUGGGCUCAACCCAUAGUCUGCAUCAGAAACUGCCGGGCUUGAGUAUGGGAGAGGUGAGUGGAAUUUCCGGUGUAGCGGUGAAAUGCGUAGAUAUCGGAAGGAACACCUGUGGCGAAAGCGGCUCACUGGACCAUUACUGACGCUGAUGUACGAAAGCUAGGGGAGCAAACAGGAUUAGAUACCCUAGUAGUCC
rnacentral:rRNA from 1 species